rnacentral:lncRNA from 1 species
GCAUUUAUCAAAACAUGUGUCACAAACAUACUUGAUACACUUGCUGUAAAAAGAAUUUUCAAGACAUGAAUCAAUCACACAUGAUUCUAGCAAAUACUUGACAACGAAUUUUCAAUGCAGGGGUCAACAAUUGUCAAAUGUAUAUCGAUCAUUUAAUGAAUGAUACUUGUAAGACGGAUUUUUCAGCAUGUCAUCAACAAGUAUAGUCAA